CCUUAGUUUGACGGAGAUCUGAGGGGUGUCAGCAGAAAGGGGUGGUCUGGUUAAGGGGAGGCCAUGGGGGAAUUUGCAGCUGAGUCGUGGAAAGGACGCCAGGGACAAGAGGCUGACGAUGGGCUUGAAGCAGCCUGGGUUCAAAGACCGCUGCUCGAUCCUAAUAGAAAGCAGAACGCAAGAGAGUGUAGGAUUUCUGAAUGAGAUGCCGAACUGUCUGGAAAAUAGAAGGGGCCGCUUUCUACAGAACACUCCAAACAUUCUGUUGCACAGCAAGGGGAGAGAGCUGAACAUGUCAGUGGGAGCAGGCCUGCCGAGGUGUCCAUUUGUUUCGGGGCAAGUCCCUCACCUUCUCCAGGCAUUUGAAACAUGGAGUUGAGCCCACACACCCCAAGGCACUGGAUGAGAUGUGCUUGGAAUAAGGCACAGAACAGGGAUCUGAACGCUAAUAAACCCUCCAGAAAACCACAGUGAAACACGAGAACCAUGGCAGAAAUGGAUGAGGAAAACACUGCUCCUGAUUUCACAAGCCUUAAGAAGUCGCUCAGAAGACCAAGCCCUGAAUGCGUUAGCUGUCCAACCCCGUUCCCCAAAGCCCUCCUCGCUGAGGCCUGCUCCUGGAGAGUAGAGCGGAGCUUUGAGAGCACAGGUCCUGGGGCAAGGAGAGCUUGUGUCCUUGGCCACCAGUGUUGGGCAGGUGGCUCAACCCCCUUCCCCUGCAGCUUCCAUAUCUGGAGGGUUGCUGUGGCCAAUAAACAGGAUGAAUGCUACCAAAUUCUCCGCA